rnacentral:lncRNA from 1 species
AUUUUCUUAUGAGAUUAUUUUGUUUACUUGUGUAAUAGAAGUGUUAGUGUAGAAUUUAUUUUAUAUCUGUCUGAAUGUAAAUCCAGGAUAUACAAUGCUGUAUGAUGUAGGGUAAGUGCAUGUCAACAUGGAUUACACAAUCUAGAUUUUUUUUUAGUGUAAUGAAAAACAUUUGCUGUGAGCAAGUUGUUUCAAUACAUAUAUCUGAAUAUAGUCCCCAAAUAUUGAACAAGUAAUUUAUUUCUAUUUUCAUGUGUUUCUUAUUGAAUGGACCAUAUGUAAAGUUUAAUUAAACACGUCUCUUUGUUAAGUCUUUGGUCUGGAAAUCGAAAUUUAAAACAAAUACAAAACAUGUGAGAUAGGAGUGUCUUAUUUAGUCCUGGUAUCUAUGAUGAGUUUAUUUAUUGUAGUUUGCUUCAUCAUGUGUUUGUCAGAUUUAAAUACAUUAUAUUGUACCACACCGUCAAUCUAUGAAUCCCAGAUUCAAAUCAUCUUUAAAAAAAUCACGUUUUUCAAGAAUGGUGUCUUGUAUCAUAUGUGUACAAGUAAGUGCUUGAACUGCUGAAAAAGAUGUGACAAGACGAAACAAUCUUUUUUUUUAAUGUCAAUAACAUCUUUUUGUUAUUUAUAUGUUAUUGUUCAAGGAAAAUUAAUCCCUGCUUAUUAAAUUUAUUAAUCAUCUAAAAAUUAUGAAUUGAUACAUCUGUUU